UACGUAGGUGGCAAGCGUUGUCCGGAAUUAUUGGGCGUAAAGCGUGCGCAGGCGGUUGUGCAAGACCGAUGUGAAAUCCCCGGGCUUAACCUGGGAACUGCAUUGGUGACUGGCGGGCUAGAGUAUGGCAGAGGGGGGUAGAAUUCCACGUGUAGCAGUGAAAUGCGUAGAGAUGUGGAGGAAUACCGAUGGCGAAGGCAGCCCCCUGGGCCAAUACUGACGCUCAUGCACGAAAGCGUGGGGAGCAAACAGG
rnacentral:rRNA from 1 species